AUUGAACGCUGGCGGCAGGCCUAACACAUGCAAGUCGAGCGAGCGGCGGACGGGUGAGAAAUUCCUGGGAAUUGCCCAGUCUCUUGGGAUAACAUUUUGAAACUACUGCUAAUACCUCAUACGAUUUUAGUUCCCAGUUGUUAUUAGCUAGUUUGGGAGGUAAUGGCUCACCAAGGCGACGAUCCCUAGCUGGGCUGAGAGGAUGAUCAGCCACACUGGAACUGAGACACGGUCCAGACUCCUACGGGAGGCAGCAGUGGGGAAUAUUGCACAAUGGGGGAAACCCUGAUGCAGCCAUGCCGCGUGUGUGAAGAAGGCCUUCGGGUUGUAAAGACCUUUCAGCGGGGAGGCGUUACUCGAAGAAGAAGAAAAGGAUAACUCCGUGCCAGCAGACGCGGUAAUAC
rnacentral:rRNA from 1 species